rnacentral:lncRNA from 1 species
UAAUUAAGAAAGGGAUGGCCCUCAUUAGCCAUGUUAGUAAUUAACAGACAAAUUGACGAAUUUUUAAAACGAGGUCUGACAUUGCAACAAAUUCGUAAGUUGAUGUAUGACAUUGCAAGGCUCAAAAGAUGAGGUAUGAGUUUGUUAUGCGACCCACAAUUGAGGUGGUAAAAUGUAUUUUACUCUAGAAUUUUUAUUUUUUUAGAAAACCUUAUGACCAUGUCCUAAAUUAAUUUCUAGAUAUUCUUCCUAUAAACUGUAAAUGACAAUGCCCAAAAUUAACCGUGAAGAACACUAAUUAACUCUAAGAUUUUCCUAUGUUCUUUGAAUCGAACUCUUAGUCGCAACCAAAUUAUUCUUCUCAAGUUUCCUAACUAUGAAAAGUAUGAUAGAAACAUAUAUCAAAGAUCAUUAAUUUCUCUGAAAAUCAAAAGCAUUGACAAAGCGAUUGUAACUAUGAAAAACAUGAUACUCUUACCAAGGAUUUACUUAACUCAAUCAAGACUAGUGACUUUUACUACUUGUGAACAUAAAUUCAUAAUGAUUAGGUGAAAUUCCCUUACAUUCUUGCAUCAAACUCUAGCAUGCAAACCAAGUAUAUAACCUUAAUAAACAUAUAAGAAUAUGUUCUCAAUAAAUUGGAUAAGUAAAUUGUGAAGUCUAGUCUUAAGUGUUUUGGCUUUCCUUGUCAAUAUUGUAAAUGGUACCACACAUGCUCUAGUUAGUUUUAUGAUACACUGUCACUAUGGGAUCAUACAAUUGGAAAUAAUAACUCAAGGGUUUGGUUUCUCUCCUUAAUGGUUUGUUCAUGCAUAUGCAUUUCAUGCUUAAAUUCUAGUCCAUUCUGUCUAAUUGUGUUGUCUCAUUAGAUUACUCGUUGAUUUCUUGCGAGCUGGCCACACAAAUUAAGAUUGCCCACAUGGGAUGAUUUUUGUUAAGAGACUUCUUUUAGCCCUUGAUCUGCUCAGAUCGUUUUCUGGGUUGACAAGUGUUUCUUGUACUUGCUCGCUAAAAAUAAACAACCCUUUUGUUUAAAACCCUAGCUUGGUUUCAUUUUUUGGUUGGUUGUCCAAAUUAAAUUUUAGAGAGGAGUGCUUUCAAAGCUCUUGAGCUUGUGUCUUCCUCAUUUAUGGAACCUUAACUGCCAAACCAUUUUUCAUGCAUUAAACUCUCAAUCAUUGAGAAAUAGGUUUGCAUUGUGUUCUUGGUCUAGCUUUAAGUUUCAAAUCUUCAUUUAGACCUAUUGUUAGGAUUCACGUUAGUUUCUUCUUUCAACUAUUUGACUGGAAAACUGACUGGUCUUUUGAAUCUAGAUUUCAUAUCACCUUCAUCACUACAUCAUUAGCAUUGAUAGAGUUGGUCUCAAUGCUAAAAGGCGAAGAGCUCAGGGUUAUGAGUUGUCGUCUUGUGAAGACAGAUGACAUGUCCAUCAGUGCAAAGUAAGGUUGCACAAAGAUAAAGCUACUCCUUACAUUGUGGUACUUUGUAAGAACAUUAUUUGCACUAGUGGAUUGGAUUCCUUGGAGUUUACAUUUUUUUUAGCCCAGAUGUGGGGUUUUCCAAUCAAAACUUCUUAUGUUCCUACAUGCUUAACUAGCUUACAUAUCUAGAUAUAUAUGUUUAUGGUAUGUAUAAACUAUUUAGUUGAUUGACUGAUAUGUGAAGGUGUUUAACUAUAUGUUGCUGCAUUGUGAGACAUAACUGUGUUGUUGUUUGGCUAACAUACUAAGUCUACUAAGUUUGUUUCCUGAAUCUGAGUUUUUAGUUCUAACAACUUUGUACUUAGUUGACUAGUUCUUGUGUCUAGUCCACAUUGCAUAUUUUAGUUGUUAAUCGCAGGAUAUUCCGCCCGGUACCAAUUUCAUAAAACUAUUCAUGCUUUAUGAAAUAAUAAUUGGAUGUAAUCAAUUCAUAUUAAACAUAUGUUCAUGGCUUCGAAUUCACCUCUAGCUAAAAAGAACUUAUUUACACAUGUUCAUCAUACUUGAAAAGCAAUAUACAAUAAAUAUCGAAACUAUAUAAAACAAAAUUUGAACUAUGAAUUUCUAGUGUGUUCAAUGAAUGAAUGGAUGACUGAGUGGAUUCUAGAUCGGUGAGUUACGAUUAAAAGGUGUAGGAAUUAUAAGGUGUGGGACCAUGAUUUUCCACAGCUAGAGUAAGGCUAAUUCGAAUAUUAUUACCUCAGAAGUUCAAUCAUGGAUUCACCAGCUCUGGGCGAAGCUGUAUCAAACGGAGCAGGGUGCCACCAUCACUCUACUCAGGGGCAAUAGGCAAAGUCCUAUCGACUCCGUUGGAUAACCAUGCUUGUUCCAAAAGACAUGUGAUCUGAUCUGGAUGUGGACACACUCAGUCCCUAUAAGUCUUGGAGUCCCUACAAUCUUGAGAUAGGUGUGCACCACAAGUAAUCACAAAUCCUAAGAGAAUGCAAUAUCUACUUACUAGAUAUCCUUUAGGAUUCUCCCAGCUUAGAACGAGGAUUCUAUCCUAAAAAGGUCUAUCUCCCAUGGUAUAAAUACACCCAUCUAGGGUUCAUCUACGGUAUAAUUUAUACACUUGAAUUCUAUUGCCUACUACUUGAGUCACAAAUUAUAAGUAUUAUUGAGGAUGUUGAGAUUUAUGAAAUUAUGAUGGCAUGACCAUACAUAUUUUUAUCUGCCCAUCAUGCAUACUUACACCGGUGGCUAUAGUACUCGUCCGAGCCAGAAACAGCUUCACGUGUAUGUUCACAUCACACUGUUACGCUUACUAUGGAUCCAUUGUAGGUUCCAGUAUGUACUAUUUUGCAAUAGGCAACUAAGACUCUUAUAUUAUGUGUUUAGCGCCAGCUUCACGUGUAUGUAAUACUUGAACGUGCAUGGGCUUGUGUGUCUACAUAUUGUGAUAUGCAUACUAUUUUAUAGAGUUGAGAGUUGUGGUUUAUCGUCCAUUUGAAUAUUUGAAUUUUACGGUAAUUGAUUCUCAUACUAUUACAUAGUAUGACAUGAGCAAAACGUAUUAUAUUGUUGUUGAGAUGUUGUGGUUUACCGUAUACUUGCAACUAAUUGUUUUAUACAAUAUUCUAAUCUUCAUACUUAUAUGUUGUAUGAUUUUAGUACAUAUACAAGUUGUACUGUGAGGGGAUAUUAUGUUGAGAAAAACAAAGGUUUUACUAAACCCUUAUUUUUGCCCACUUUCUUUUUGUUUUGUGCCUUUCCAGAAGUUAGUAACUAGAUUUUUGUGGCGAGCGAGGGUUCAUUGUUAGUUAUGGCAUUUGCUCUAGUAAUGUAGGGUUUUAUUUUCUAUAUUUUCUAUAAAUAUCCAUCAUUCCCAAGAUGGAGAUAUUCUUAUCUAUAUUGCAUUAUUAGCUACGUUCUGACGAUUACAUUACAUUGUAAUAUGGCUACAUCUCGUACUGUGCACUCACACUAUUAGUUUGAAUUAGUAUUGUAUUAAACAUCUACACUUUAUGGCUUCGUCAUCUUCAGGUUUUGGCCAACACGCCGUGACUCCGGUGUCCACCUAGAUAUCCGGGUGGGGCUCUGUCAUUUUUUCUGAAUUUAAUAUGAAUUAAAUUGUUUCUUUGGCAUAAUAUUUUAUUUCAUGAGGACAACAUGAUAUCCGAUGAUGCAGGUGUAACAACAAGCUAGGUUGACCUAACCAAUUUAUGAUGAGCCAAAUGAAUUUCUUGUCUUGUCAUGCUUAGGCCAAAAUUACAAAACUUCAUUGAACUUUGUUGGAAAUGUGCCCUAAAACCAAUCAUAUGAUGAUACUUUACGGACAUUUCACAUGUUAAACUAAUCUAGUUUAACAUCAAGGGCAUAGAUUAUUGUUUUAGCCGUCUCAUAUAAAUGUUAUAUGCUUAAACAAUAAGUCCAAGGAAUAUGUGAUUGGGAGAAUACGAUUUAAAGAAGUUAGAUUCAUGAGACAAUUCUUUUGUAGACACAUCCUAAAUGUUCCUGAUCAUAGGAUUGCCAAUUGGGCAUUGACAGUCCGUUAAGAUCAGUAUGUACUGUGUCUUCUCUCAGGGAGAGUGACUAGUCUCGAGUCAUUGGUGUGUGUGACAUCAAGACAAGUAC